CUUGUGCUGGCUUGGACAACACAUACUAAAAGUGGAAUGAUACAGAGAAGAUUAAAGUCACCCUUGCACAAAGAUGAUACAAGUCUAUACAGUAUGCACCAAUAUUUU
ensembl:snRNA U6 U6 spliceosomal RNA